UACGUAGGGGGCUAGCGUUGUCCGGAAUUAUUGGGCGUAAAGAGCUCGUAGGCGGUGUGUCACGUCGUUCGUGAAAACCUGCAGCUUAACUGUGGGCGUGCGGUCGAUACGGGCAUCACUGGAGUUCGGCAGGGGAGACUGGAAUUCCUGGUGUAGCGGUGAAAUGCGCAGAUAUCAGGAGGAACACCGGUGGCGAAGGCGGGUCUCUGGACAGUUCCUGACGCUGAGGCACGAAGGCCAGGGGAGCAAACGGG
rnacentral:rRNA from 1 species